rnacentral:rRNA from 1 species
CCCUUAGAUGUUCUGGGCUGCACGCGCGCUACACUGAUGCGCUCAACGAGUUUUAACCUUGCCUGGAAAGGUUGGGUAAUCUUUUUAAAACGCAUCGUGAUGGGGAUAGAUUAUUGCAAUUAUUAAUCUUCAACGAGGAAUUCCUAGUAAGCGCGAGUCAUCAGCUCGUGCUGAUUACGUCCCUGCCCUUUGUACACACCGCCCGUCGCUCCUACCGAUUCAGUGAUCCGGUGAAUAAUUCGGACUGCGGCAUUGACCGGUUCCCGAUCGUUGCUGCGGAAAGUUUAGUGAACCUUAUCACUUAGAGGAAGGAGAAGUCGUAACA